AGGGAAAGAGGGCGGUAGGCCUAACACAUGCAAGUCGAACGGCAGCACAGUAAGAGCUUGCUCUUACGGGUGGCGAGUGGCGGACGGGUGAGGAAUACAUCGGAAUCUACUUUUUCGUGGGGGAUAACGUAGGGAAACUUACGCUAAUACCGCAUACGACCUACGGGUGAAAGCAGGGGAUCUUCGGACCUUGCGCGAUUGAAUGAGCCGAUGUCGGAUUAGCUAGUUGGCGGGGUAAAGGCCCACCAAGGCGACGAUCCGUAGCUGGUCUGAGAGGAUGAUCAGCCACACUGGAACUGAGACACGGUCCAGACUCCUACGGGAGGCAGCAGUGGGGAAUAUUGGACAAUGGGCGCAAGCCUGAUCCAGCCAUACCGCGUGGGUGAAGAAGGCCUUCGGGUUGUAAAGCCCUUUUGUUGGGAAAGAAAAGCAGCAGGUUAAUACCCCGCUGUUCUGACGGUACCCAAAGAAUAAGCACCGGCUAACUUCGU
rnacentral:rRNA from 1 species